rnacentral:rRNA from 1 species
GCAGCUAAGGCAUUAAGUUGACCGCCUGGGGAGUACGGCCGCAAGGUUAAAACUCAAAUGAAUUGACGGGGCCCGCACAAGCGGUGGAGCAUGUGGUUUAAUUNGAUGCAACGCGAAGAACCUUACCUACCCUUGACAUCCAGAGAAUCUGUUAGAGAUAGUAGAGUGCCUUCGGGAGCUCUGAGACAGGUGCUGCAUGGCUGUCGUCAGCUCGUGUCGUGAGAUGUUGGGUUAAGUCCCGUAACGAGCGCAACCCUUAUCCUUAGUUGCCAGCACGUCAUGGUGGGAACUCUAGGGAGACUGCCGGUGAUAAACCGGAGGAAGGUGGGGAUGACGUCAAGUCCUCAUGGCCCUUACGGGCUGGGCUACACACGUGCUACAAUGGUGGUGACAAUGGGUCGCUAACUCGCGAGAGCAAGCUAAUCCCCAAAAGCCAUCUCAGUUCGGAUUGCACUCUGCAACUCGAGUGCAUGAAGUCGGAAUCGCUAGUAAUCGUGGAUCAGCAUGCCACGGUGAAUACGUUCCCGG